AUGUAAUGUAAUUCCGACAACUUUAAUGCACCAAAUACCAUUAGAACUUUGUAGUUAAGUGCACUUGGAAUAGAGUAAUACUGGGAUGGUUGAACUUCUCGAGAAGUCCUAGUGUUUUACAUG
rnacentral:rRNA from 1 species